GUGAGGAAUAUUGGUCAAUGGGCGGGAGCCUGAACCAGCCAAGUCGCGUGAAGGAAGAAGGAUCUAUGGUUCGUAAACUUCUUUUGCAGGGGAAUAAAGUGCAGGACGUGUCCUGUUUUGUAUGUACCCUGAGAAUAAGGAUCGGCUAACUCCGUGCCAGCAGCCGCGGUAAUACGGAGGAUCCGAGCGUUAUCCGGAUUUAUUGGGUUUAAAGGGUGCGUAGGUGGUUUGAUAAGUCAGCGGUGAAAGUUUGCAGCUUAACUGUAGAAAUGCCGUUGAAACUGUCGGACUUGAGUGUAAAUGAGGUAGGCGGAAUGCGUGGUGUAGCGGUGAAAUGCAUAGAUAUCACGCAGAACUCCGAUUGCGAAGGCAGCUUACUAAGCUACAACUGACACUGAAGCACGAAAGCGUGGGGAUCAAACAGGAUUAGAAACCCUGGUAGUCC
rnacentral:rRNA from 1 species